rnacentral:rRNA from 1 species
AACGAACGUUAGCGGCGCGCUUAACACAUGCAAGUCGUACGAGAAAGGGCUUCGGCCCCGGUACAGUGGCGCACGGGUGAGUAACACGUAGGUGACCUUCCCUCGAGCUGGGGAUAACCCUGCGAAAGUGGGGCUAAUACCCGGUAUGACCACGGUUCUGAGAGGGACUGGGGUGAAAGCGGGCCUCUGCAUGCAAGCUCGCGCUCGAGGACGGGCCUGCGGCCCAUCAGCUAGUUGGUGAGGUAACGGCCCACCAAGGCGAAGACGGGUAGCCGGUCUGAGAGGAUGUGCGGCCACACUGGAACUGAGACACGGUCCAGACUCCUACGGGAGGCAGCAGUGGGGAAUCUUGCGCAAUGGGCGAAAGCCUGACGCAGCGACGCCGCGUGGGUGAUGAAGGCCUUCGGGUUGUAAAGCCCUGUGGGGAGGGAAGAAUGAGGUCGGGCGAAUGGUCCGACCGACGACGGUACCUCCUUAGCAAGCACCGGCUAACUCUGUGCCAGCCGCCGCCGUAAUAC